rnacentral:lncRNA from 1 species
CCCAGGGAAAAGCAUCUGUGUGUGCAAGGAGAUGCAGCUCAGGAGGGGAAGGAGACUACCAGGGGGCCAGAAUUCCUGUGUCUCACUUGCUCAGCAGAAGGGACAGUGUGGACCCCAGAAUCCAACAGAUGAGUUUGUUUCCUCGGAGGAAUGGACAGACCAGUGCUGGGAGAGGAAGUGGGGCAGGAGAGGACAAUACGAUACUGUGAGUACUGGCAGAUUUGUCUUCAGCAUCUCUGUUUCCUAGGACUGACACUCACCUGCCUUUUCUGUCUUCUCUAGACUGUGAAGAGAACAGCCGGAACUCACAGCACAUCCCCAAGACAGAAAACUAAAUCGUGACGCAUCUGUAACCUUCCUUAUAAGACUCGCUUAGAUGCCCAAAAUGAAAUAGCUGGGGCCGUGACCAACCCUCUGUGUGAUGGCGCUCAGUUUUCCAGGGACAAAGAGCCAGGAAAUUAACCGUUUCCAACAAGAGCCCAAGAGGCAGGCUGCUUCCUCUGCCAGCACCUUUGAACUGCAGUGCUUCAUCACAUCCCUCAGGAUUCUUCGGGAAGCCGUCUUAGG